CGGAGGAAGGUGGGGAUGACGUCAAGUCAUCAUGCCCCUUAUGUCCAGGGCUUCACACAUGCUACAAUGGCCGGUACAGAGGGCUGCGAUACCGUGAGGUGGAGCGAAUCCCUUAAAGCCGGUCUCAGUUCGGAUCGGGGUCUGCAACUCGACCCCGUGAAGUCGGAGUCGCUAGUAAUCGCAGAUCAGCAACGCUGCGGUGAAUACGUUCCCGGGCCUUGUACA
rnacentral:rRNA from 1 species